rnacentral:rRNA from 1 species
AACGAACGCUGGCGGCAGGCUUAACACAUGCAAGUCGAACGGGUGUAGCAAUACAUCAGUGGCUAGACGGGUGAGUAACACGUGGGAACCUUCCUAGGGGUACGGAACAACUCUAGGGAAACUUGAGCUAAUACCGUAUACGUCCGUAAGGAGAAAGAUUCAUCGCCCCUAGACGGGCCCGCGUCGGAUUAGGUAGUUGGUGGGGUAACGGCCUACCAAGCCUACGAUCCGUAGCUGAUCUGAGAGGAGAUCAGCCACACUGGGACUGAGACGCGGCCCAGACUCCUACGGGAGGCAGCAGUGGGGAAUCUUGGACAGUGGGCGCAAGCCUGAUCCAGCCAUGCCGCGUGAGUGAAGAAGGCCUUAGGGUUGUAAAG